GAUAGUGAGAGAGACAGAGAGAAAGGUCUUCCUUUGCCGUUGGUUCACCCUCCAAUGGCCGCCACGGCCAGCGCGCUGCGGCCGGCGCACCGCGCUGAUCCGAAGCCAGGAGCCAGGUACUUCUCCUGGUCUCCCAUGGGGUGCAGGGCCCAAGCACUUGGGCCAUCCUCCACUGCACUCCCGGGCCACAGCAGAGAGCUGGCCUGGAAGAGGGGCAACCGAGACAGAAUCCGGCGCCCCGACCGGGACUAGAACCCAGUGUGCCGGCGCCGCAAGGCGGAGGAUUAGCCUAGUGAGCUGCGGUGCCGGCCUCGAAGGGGUACUUUAGAUCUACCUGUGGAGACUCAAGAGGUAGAGAUUUAAUCGUUGACAGAUGUACCCAGCUUGGAAUUCCCUGUGAUUUUACAGAAGUAGGCUGUUGCUGUGGAUUCGUUCUGAGAGGAGGAGCACGGUGGGGGCAAGAGGCACAGAGUCACCACACAGACACUGGGAGUCGGGUGAAUGCGGGCCAGAAGCGAGCAGCCUUCAGACUCCUUUAUUUCAGUUGGUACAGCAGCUUAUAUAGCCGAGGCAGCCAAUCCGGUCAAGGGGCGGUUUAUGCCCUAACCAAUCACUGCCUGUUGCCAGACAGGCUCCUUUGCCAGGUGGGUUCCAAAACCAUUCCUGAGUAACCAAUGCUCGCUUGCCAGCAGCCAUCUUGGCAUGGCCUUCUCAUUCCACCACAGUAGGUAUGCUCAGCAGUACCCAGUAAGUACCCUUCCACUGGGGCUGUAACUGGUCUGAGGGAGACCCUUCCUUCCAGGUCUUUAAUAAAACCAGGUCUCCUGGGGAGAUGGGCUUCUCAUGAGCUUCAGGGUCUGGCGCCGGAAGGACCUUGUUGCCAUACUUGACCAGAGCCUUCUGUAUCUGGUCUAGUUGAUAAUGUACUUUAUCUGAUCUUGACCUCUGAAUCAAAGAGGGUGUCUGAAGUAGAGCCAGUAUCUCUUCCAUAUUUAACCGGGGAAUUCUUGGCAGUCAGUAAGCCCCUCUCUUUCCAGAUUGCUGCCUGUGCAUGUAACACAAGCAAAGCAUAUCUGGAAUCCGUAUAUAUGGUAACUCGCUGGCCUUUUCCCAGUUGUAGAGCCCUAGUCAAUGCAGUAAGCUCCGCCUUUUGGGCUGAAGUAUUGGGCGGUAGAGCUUGGGCUUCUGUUGUCUGAGUAAGAUCCAGUACGGCAUAGCCUGACUUCCUAACUCCUUCCUUCAUAUAGCUGCUGCCAUCUGUAAACCAUUCAGCAUCUGAUUUUCCAAGGGCUCAUCUCGUAGGUCUGGCCUGGUCUAUAGUUUCUACACAGGAAUGGGUCAACGCUCCAGCAUUGUCAGAUGGCAACAAAGUCGCUGGGUUGAGGACCUGACACACCUUAAGGGUUAUUUUAGGUGGAAUUCGGACAGAGAGAGCGAGACAGAGAGAAAGGUCCUCCCUCCAUUGGUUCACCCCCCAAAAUGGCUGCUACGGCCGGAACUGCGCUGAUCCAAAGCCAGGAGCCAGGUGCUUCUUCCUGGCCUCCCAUGCAGGCACAGGGGCCUAAGCACUUGGGCCAUCCUCCACUGCCUUCCUGCACAACAGAGAGCUGGACCAGAAGAGGAGCAGCCGGGACUAGAACCAGCCCACGUGGGAUGCUGGCACCGCAGGCGGAGGAUUAACCAAGAACUUGGCCUCUUGAUGGUUGUGACGUGAGCCUGUUUCCUGUGAGACUCCUGCCCCGGCGUCAGCUGUUGCUGCUGCAGCCUGAGCCCUGCGGACUCCUUAGGCCUGGAGCGUGUGCGGUGCGUCCGCUCCGCCCUGUCGGUGGUGAGAGCCUGGGCUUUACCUUUCCACUCUCUGCUGCCUUUGAAUCGGAACAGUGAAGCUCAGUGAUUAACUAUUGCUGUGGUACGGCUUUCGCUUGCCGUUUCGCUUGCCGGCUGUUCCACCUGGGUUUCUCGGUGGUGGACCUUUUCCCUCUCCCUGCUGUUUUCGGGAAGGAGACUCCUUCGUGCUAAUGUCCCUCCUGUGUGUUCAGCAGUCCGCCUCUGACAGGUGUGCUGGCUGCUGUGGGGUAAGGGCUUCCCACACCGUGCGGACGCCGGAGGGCUAGCUCUGUCCCCGUGAGAGCACACCAUGCCACGCAGCCCUCGUCCCUCUGAGCUGCCCCUCUGCAUGUUCAGUCUCGUGGUGUACUGUUUUGUUGCUUGUCUGUAGAAUUGGUGGGACAGCUGGUCCAGCACAAACCUGCUCUGCCAUUACAGUAAUUUUCCUCAGUAACACCUGACCAUCUUUGGAAUGCAGUUUUACAGUAAGGGCACUUUUCCCCCAUUGCUUGUUCCUGUUUUUACUUUUCUGUCUCUGGUUUCUGUAUCUGUGACUGCGUACACGCUCUCAUUUUCCUAAUUCUGUGAAAACUGAUGGCCUGCCCAACCCCCAUGCAAGAAAUUAAAGCAGCUCCUUUCUCCCCGGAGUGAACGAGAAACUGCAAGUCUACACACCCAAAACACCAGGUGUGUAUUGGGGUGGGGGUGUUGGGUUUUUUUUUUUUAUUGAUUUUGAAAGGCAGAGACAGAAUUUUUUUUUUAAGAUUUAUUUAUUUAUUCACUUGAAAGUCAGAGUUACAGAGAGAGAGAUUGAUUGAUUGAUUGAUUGAUUCCAUCUACUGGCUCACUUUCAACUGGCUGCAACAGCCGGAGCUGGGCCAUUCCGGAGCCAGGAGCCAGGAGCUUCCUCCAGGUUUCCCACACAGGUGCGGGGGCCCAAGGACUUGGGCCAUCUUCUACUGCUCUCCCAGGCCAUAGCAGAGAGCUGGAUGGGAAGUGGAGAAGCCAGGUCUCGAACUGGUGCCCAUUAUGGGAUGCCGGUGCUUCAGGCCAGGGUGUUAACCCACUGUGCCACAGCACUGGCUCCAGAAUCAAUCUUCUAACCGAUGGUUCACUCAAGUGGCCACAAAGGCCAGUCUGAAGCCAGGAGCCUGGAACUCCAUCCAGGUCUCACACGUGGGCUGUGGGGGCCAUCUUCUGGUGCUUUCCCAAGCCAUGAGCAGGGAGCUGGACUGGAAGUGGAGCAGCCGGGGCUUGACAUGGUGCCCACAUGGGAUGCCAGCAUCCAGAGGGCGCAUAACCUGCUGGGCCACAGCACGGCCCUGGGCUAUCUUCUUCACUGAAUGCAAGGUACCGUCUCGCCCCCCGAAGUACGUGAAGCCCCGCAGCCCUGCCGUGCACUAUUUUUGCUAUGCUCUCACUACUCAUCUCUUCCCAAGGAUUGAGAUCUUCUCUGACAGUGAAUUCAGUUCUGCCCCCUCAAAAGACGCCUUCCUUCCACUUCAGUUUCCACGUCCGUCUGCGAGCACCGUUCCUGUCACCACCCAGGUGGGUGCACCACUGCAGUGACGCACGGCUCGGGAGCAAGGGCUGUGUCUAGCCCUGGGUUCAAAUCCUCAUAGCUACGAACGCUUCGCCUCACACGCAUGGCCACUCCCUCCCUCCAUUGCGGAAGGGGUAACAGAGCCUCUUUCUCCUUUGCAAGGGUUCUGUGAGGCCAAAUGUGUUGGGGGGGGGGGCUGCCUUGCACACCCCAGCCUCCUCGGCUUUCUCUCAGUCACCUGCUUCUCUCCCCUUUCCCCCCUUCACUUCUCUGCCUCCUUAGUGCCGGCUUUCCUCUGACAGCUACGUCCAAACACACGGUUUUAGCUGUCAUCCAAGGAUCUGUGUCUUCACGUCUGAAAUUGGAAUGGCUGUCACCAUUUGGACAUCUUAAAGAUGACCGUGUCCCACAACCAGACUUCACAGUCGACUGAACCCAGCCACCAGGACACCUCCACUCCCACCCGAUUCCUCUCCCCAGGCACCCAGCUCUGGCCUCACUGCUGUUGAUUUUAGCUCCUCUUCUUUAACCCUCCUCUUCCUCUCCAAGUCUCAGCCUACAGCCCUGCUACCGCUGAGACCUCAUCAGUGACCUUUCAGUUUCAGUAACUGGAUCGGUGCUGGGGAACUGUGACGCACGAGCACUGGCCCAUCAGUGAGCGGCCGGGAGGCCACCCCUGCCCUCAAGGUCUCUUCGUUUCAGACUAGCCCCGCAAACAGGUAAGAGAAGACAGGGACCGUCGCUUUCUAAAGUUUUUAUUGUGGUCUCAUUUAUUCCUUUAUUCAGGUACAACUUUCCUCAAAGGAAUGUUCAUACAUAAUCUAGAGAGAAAACAGUUACCUUUAUCAACUCCUUGGCUAGCAGGUGCUUCCCUAUUUUUUUCCAAUCCUCAGAGCUGACAGCAGAGCAGCCGUGGGCUCCUGCUUCGCACACUGACAUGAUCUGGCUGCGCACCGACGUCACACAGGGACCUGCUCCAGAUCCCGUCCGGCGAGCGCCCGGAGCUCUCCCCGGCUUCCUCUUGAAUUCAGAGAAUCGCACCUUCCCCAGGCCUCACCAUCGCGAGCCGCCGCGCAGUGUCCCCGCCCUCCCUGCACAAGGGAGGGCUCAGCCAGCCUUUCAGACCCAGGCCGCGUCCUGUGUUCUCGAGGGGACAGGGUCACUCUUCUCCUGUUUCUGGCUGAGGGCCUGGGGGGCUGCACAGUCGUGCCUUAGGCUCCUUUCCAGGCUCCGUGGGGUCACUGGCACUCCUGCAUUCCACGUUCUAAUUCUGUGAUGCCUGCCGCUACCUGGCCUUUGCUAACUGGGGCCAUCCUCAGAUACCUAAGAACUCCUGACUCUGGGGUCCUCCUCGCUAUUUUUCGCUCCGCUGUUCCAGCGCUUCUGUUGGACUUGCUUCCGCAGCAGGCUCUGGCUCCAGAGGAAGCGAAGGCGGCUUUGGGAGCGGGGCUGCGCCUCCAGCACCUAGGGCAGAACAGAUGGUACGCACGCUUGAGGCCGGAGCCCCACUCUCAGUGUCAGCAGCAAGUCCGGCAACUGCAGCUGCGCAGGAAACUAACAGCAACAGUCACAGCUGCUGAGACGCCGACUGCCAGCACCCCGGCUAACAGUGUCCUUGGCAGUGUCCUGCACGGCUGGCCCUGAGGAAGCCAGUGCGACACUGGAUGUGCAGGGGCCAGCCUCCCGCUCCAAUCUGAUCUGCUGGCACGGGGGCUCGCACCCACGCAGUCUUCCUGGAGCUCUGGGUAGCCUCCUACCUGAAGGGAGCGUCCUGUACGCAGCUGCUGAAGACAUCGCCUGCCCGAGAGCCUGGUUGGAGCCCAGAGGCUGCUGCAGACCGGCGGGCUUGCUGCUCGAGGGGCUGCGGUGCUUUGACUUGGGGUCUUUGACUGGUUUAGUCCAGACCAGGGCCUCCCCCACCUGGAGAGCAGCUCCCAACUUCUGAGCCAUCUCCACCAUCUUGUGUCCCGACAGAGAGAGAAGAGAGUCAGACGUGACUAGCCGAGAUGAGCCAACCCCUCUCCCCAGCCUCCCAGCAGGAGUGCGGUGGGUUCCAACACGACGCAGGGAGUCGUUGUCACUCAGCAGAAGCACAGGCUGCCUUCAGUGAAAAGUGACAGCUCGAGCCGGCGCACAGUGGAGCUGCAAACACGGCCCAGAGACACAGACCCGACUCCUGGGUUGCACCCGCAACAGGAGAGGACAAGCCAGAAUUCUGAUUUCUUCCAGGAGUACUCCUCUCAAGUAAUUACUGCCUCUCCUUCUCUGUGUAACUAUGACUUUCAAAUAGAAAGAAAAGAACCCACAGAGCCAAGAGCUUACAAGCCCUUAACGUCGGGUGGUUUGGGCUUGACCUAAGUCUCCUGCAGCUUGCAGGGAGCCUCUGAGAGCCAUACCUCUGAGUCAAUCUCCAGAGAGCCGCUGUCCUUGAGGAGGCGGGCUUUCUUCUCCAGCUCCUGGUACUGGGCCAGCGCGCCCCUCUUCUCGCCCUGGUUGUACAGCAGCACGGCAUAGUUCAGGUUUACCAAAGGGUUACACCUGUGGCAGACACAUGGAGUCUGUGGCCUGCAGCUUGCAACAAAUGGUCACUUACAAAUGCUUCUCACACAAAAACAAAACAAAACUGAUUAAGUGGAAGUUUUUCCAUCCUGCAGCAAGAUGGGACCCAAGUGUUGUGUGGACCUGUGGAGAGGAAUGACAGAAGUAACUGCCCACCAGCAAAGCAGGUGUCCGCACCAAGUCUGACAUCUCAGCCCUCAGAGGCCACCACGGCAGGGCUGCUCUCUAGCAGUGUCCCAGACAGCCCAGAGCCCCCGUGUGACAUCCAGCCAUCAGCAGCCCAAGCCUGCUGCCAGCUCUGACCACUACACACAGGCCUGGACACCUUCUCAGGAGCAGUGUCCACUCCGACCUUGGGAACCAUCCUUCCACACUGGAGCCUGCUGUGUACAGAGGCUGGAGAACAGCCUGGUGACCCGCCCUGUGAGCCCAUGCCCCCCUGCUGCGCCCUGGCAGGGCACUCACUGAUCCAGGCGGACGGCCUCUGCGUAGGCUCUCUUGGCGUUCUCUAUAUCCUCCAGAUUGGUCAGGGCCACUACAACAAACAGAUUGUGGGCUGCAGCUUAGAAUCGUGGGGCCAGCGCUGGGCUGUGGUGGGUUAAACCUCCACCUGCAGCACCAGAGUCCCGGCUGCUCUGCUUCCAAUCCAGCUCUCUGCUAAUGGCCUGCGAAGACAGCAGAGGAGGGCACAAGUCCUUGGGUCCCUGUACCCAUGUAGGAGACCCAGAGGAAGCUCCCAGCUCCCAAUCAGCUUAGCAAUGGCUGCUGUGGCCAUUUAGGGAGUGAACCAGUGGAUAGACGUUCGCUCUGUCUCUCCUUUUCUCUCGCUGUAGCUCUGCAUCUCAAAUGAAUUUAAAAAAAAAAAAGGUACACACACACACACACACACGAUUCCAAGGCCCCUCCCAAUUCAACUCUUGUACCACCUCAGCUCAGCACAACGUGUGCACAGCCCUGAAUACCUGGUGCCGUCAACAGUCCCCUACCACAGCCCGACAGCUGCCAGGCUCUGUGCACCCCGCCCUGUAAUGCCCUGGUUUAAGCUCUACACUUCCCCAGUGGCAGUGACCCACCUGCUUCCAUUCCACCUUGCACAGUGUCACUAGGUUCUCACUGAUGCACCUGACCACACCCCAUCUUACCAAAGAGGCCUCGCUGGUUCCCCUCACUAUAAUAACCAGGAUACUACACUGAUUGGUCUAGCUUGUUUUUGUGUCUGUAUGGCAUAGAUUAGUUUCAGGGGUGGAAUCUCAUUGUACACAACAUGCUCAGAAAUGAGGGUCUCCACAAUAGGUAGCCUGACUGGGACCAGCUGUAAUAACAACACUCCGUGAAGGAGUGACAGACAGAUCUGGCUCACUCCCUAAAUGCCCCCAACAGCCGGAGCUGAGCCCGGCUCAAGCCAGGAGCCUGAAACUCCAUGCGGGUCCCCCACGUGGACAGCAGGAACCCAGGCACCUGGGCCAUCUGCUGCUGCUUUCCCGGGUGCUUUAAGAGGGAGCUGGAAAAGCAGUUUUGCUUUGCCAGGUGGGACUCAAACCAGAGUCAGAAGUGGUGGCUUAACCCGCUGUGCAACAGUGCAGCCCUGCCACAACACUACUACUGACGACAGAGCAGGGCAGUUGUUGGGCCUAACCAUUAAACUGCAGGGCCUGGGUUCCAUUCCCAGCUCAGCUCUGAAGUCCAGCUUCCUGCUAAUGCACACCCUGGGAGGCAACGUGAUGGCUCCAGUGGUUGGGUGGUUGCUGCCCAUGUGGGAGACACGGGUCACGUUCCCAACUUCAUCCCUGGCCCAGCCCCAGCCAUCAUGGACAUCUGGGAGGUGAAACAUUGCAUGGGAACUCUCAAUUAAAUUCAUCUGUAAAGGUAUAGCCUCUAUAUAUAUAAAGAUUUUAUUUAUUUGAAAAGUAGAGUUGGUUCACUCCCCAGGUGGCCGCAACGGCCGGAACUGCGCCGAUCCAAGGCCAGGAGCCGGGUGCUUCUUCCCAGACUCCCAUGUUGGUGCAGGGGCCCAAAGACUCAGGCCAUCUUCCACUGCUUUCCCAGGCCACAGCAGAGAGCUGGAUUGAAGAGGAGCAGCCGGGACUUGAACCGGCGCCCAUAUGGGAUGCCAGUGCCACUGGCAGAAGAUUAACCUACUGUACCACAGCCCCAACCUACUAAAUAUUUUCUAAAGUGACCAUAACAAAAUCAACAUGUGGGGGCUCACACCGCCAUCCUGUAUUAGACCACCGGUUCAUGUCCUUAUUGCUCUGCUUCCAAUCCAGACCCCUGCUGAUGCGCCUGGGAAGGCAGUGGAAGACGGCCGGGUGUCACCAGGUAGGAGUUCAGAAUGGAGUUCCAAGCUCCUGGCUUCAGCCUGGCCCGGACCUGGCUGUGGGAGCCACUUCUAGAGUGAACCAGUGGAUGAAAGACUGUCACUCUGCCUUUUGUGCAAAUAAAUGAAGCUCAACAUUCACUGAGUGUUCAGCUGACCCUGGGUAAACACAGUAAAGAAGGCAGACGCCACCCAAAGACCAAGCUCAGGGGUGGGCAUUUGGCCUGGUGGUGAAGCUGCUACCUGGGAUGGCCACAUCCCUUAUCACAGGGCCUGGGGUUCAGGUCUUGCCUCUGCUCCAGGUCCAGCUUCCUGCCGAUGUGCACCCUGGGAGGCAGCAGGUGACAUCUCCAGGAGUUGUAUCCUUGCCACCCAUAUGGGAAACUGAGUUUCUAGCUCCAGCUUUGGCCUGACCCAUCCCAGCACUGGUGGACAUCAUCUGUUUAAAGAGCUGGGAUGCCAACUCUGGGAACCCCAGCACUUAAGCUGCAGUAGCAGAGAUAACAGACUUCUAAAAGUGGUAACAACAAAGCCCAAGCUUGUAACCCUCAUUAUCUAGAACUUUCCAAGAGAAGAAAAUUGGUCAGCCGAAUGAGACAGGACCCCGCUUUGAGCUGUUGGUCUCUGGGUGGCAUCCACAGGUCCUGUAGGAUCUCCUGGAGGACAGCUUCCAUGAGAGACUUAGCGUGGGCCUUCUAGGACUUGAAUCCAUUUCCCCUCCCGCCAGACCACGGAGUCCACGUGACCGUGUCUCACCGGCCAGGAGCAUGUAGAGCUCUCCCAUCUUCGGCUGGAAGUUGAUGGCCGCACUCAGGAAGUGGAAAGCCGAUGCGUACUGCUGCAUGGUCAAGUGGACGAGGCCCAGGUUGUACAGAAUCUUCCAGUCAAACGGAGCCAAGUAGUUUGCACGUUUCAGGCAGCUGAUAGCCUGCAGGAGGAGGGGCGAGCUCAGCAGACCCGCUAACCGCGUAUGUGACGAAAACAGGAUGCACACAGGGACACUCACUGCCACGUAUUUCUUCUUCCCAAAGAAGCACAUUCCGAUGUUAUUCCACAGGGGAGGACUUUCCGGAACAGCACAAGCGACAACUCUGUAUUUGGUGAGGGCGACGUCAAAGUCCCCGUGCGUCUGCAUCAUGCUGCCUGCUGCCAGGAUGGCCUGCGAACACAGCACACGACAGCAACAGCUCAGUCACCGUCACCGUCACCAUCACCUCCACCCCUGCCCCGGAGGUCCAUCAGAAAAGACGGCGGGACAUGGACAAUACAUCUGAGCUGUGGGCGCCAACACCCGAGGCCACCCCUGCACCCCACGCUGUGGCUCUCAGGCACAGCUUCUAGCCAGAGAAGCCAUUUAUUUUAGGACGUCAAGGUCCCUAGAGUAAAAACUGCCUCGAUUCUGUUCUCUGCAGCCCCUGACAACCUGGCCUGCCCUGGCUCCCUCAGUCCAGCCCUGCAUUUCUCAAGGAAAGCAGGGAGACGGAGUCAAGGAGUCUGGCCCACUCCACCCUCGACAGAAACAUCCUGACUCUUCGGAGAGAAAAAGCUACAGGUAUCACACACAGAAAACUGAAGAGCCCCCAUGUUCUUCUUCUAUUCUGUCAACACGUCCCCAGCUGGGUCAGUGUGCUUGUGGGGACCGCCUCUGCCUCCCGGCGUGGGCCACAGGGCCGCUGGGCGAGAUGAGCUGCUGAGCCUCCUCUCCGUGGGCCCCGAGCCAAGUCGGUGAGACCUGGGGCACGCUCCCGAUUCCCUUGUCAGCAGAAAAGCCACCCUGGGGCAGCAUCAGCUGGGGAGGCUGAUGAGGGUGGGUGGGUGGCUCCUCGGGGACCCCUGGGCCCUGAGGCUUACGCAGUGGAGGGACAGAGCUGGCAGAAGCCCACUCCCAUGCAGGCAUGUGGAAGGGACUCCUCACUCCAGGUGAGGGCACUUUGCCUUGUCUUUCCCAGAAGCCUCUAGCUGGGAAGGAGCAACAGCAGAGGGGUCUCCCAGCCCUGGACACUGCUGCCCGUCAACAGUGACGGAGCCCAAGCCCUGGACACUGCUGCCCCGUCAACAGUGACGGAGCCCAAGCCCACGCAGAUGCCUCAGGCUCCUUCCUUGACUGGGUAGGAACUGUCAUUGUAGAACCCUAACACAGAACUGCUCUUCUUUGGAGUGCAUAAAAUCAAUUCUUGUAUCAAAGAAAACCAAACACAGACAGCAAGGCUCAUGUGUUUCAGGUGUUUAUUAAAAUGCGCUAAUUAUCGAAAUAAAAGAAAACCACCAGGCACACACACCUACACCAUUUCUAGUACCAACACAGGAAGGAGAGUGAAGCGCUUUCUCACCUGUAAGUAGAGUAACCCUAAAGUUGUAAGCAGCUCUGUGUUUUCUGGUGAGAACCUGCAACACAGAGACGGGAAGCAGAACAUGCGUGAGACCCUGCCCUGGUGCCACACCUGAGCAACGCCACUGAGCCCCCACUCCCACUCCCACUCCCGUCUGCACAUGCAGUUACCUUGGGUGGGCACUUGGCCACUUAGGGAACCCACAUCCCAUGCUGGAGUAGCUGGGUUCCAGUCCCAGCUGGCUCCUGCCUCCAGUUUCUUGCUGAUGCAGACCCUGGGAGGUAGUGGUAACAGCUAAGUGACUGGGUCCCUGCUGCCCAUCUGAGAGACCUGGACUAAGUUUCCAGUUCCUGGCACUAACCUCAGCCCAGCACGGGCCAUUGCAAGCCUCUGAGGAGUGAAUUGGCAGACGGGGAGCACACUGCCUCUCAAAUAAAUAUGAAAAAAAUUGGGGUCCAGCACUGCAGCAUAAUGAGCUAAGCCACUGCCUGCAAUGCCAGCAUCCCACAUGGGCGCUUGUUCAAGUCUUGGCCAUCCACUUCCGAUCCAGCCCCCAUGCUAAUGUGCUGGAGAAAGCAAUGGAGGAUGGCCCAAGUUCUUGGACCCCUUCACCCACAUGGGAGACCUGGAAGAAGCUUCUGGAUCCUGUUUUCAGCCUGGCCCAGCCCCAGCUGUGGAGGCCAGUUAGGGCGUGAGCCAACAGAUGGAAGAUCUAACUCUGCCUUUCAAAUAAAUAAAAAUGAAUACUUUGAAAAGGAAAAAAGUUUUCAAGAAAGAAUAGGUCGUUUCAGCCCAACCUACAGGGAAGACUGCUCAGCAAGAAAGGUACCAAGACUGAAUGCAGACUCCAUUCUCAGGGCCUUUUUGAAGGAGGACCAAAGUCCUAACAAAGAAUGGUGUGUGACUGUCUUUGUUACACUAACAAAAUAAGCAAUGUUCAAGGCCACACACAACAACCUCCUCUUGUGUUCUGUUCCUGGUGUGUCACAGGACCAGGCAGUGUGAAUUUAGGAUUCCAGGAAGUGUCAGUUAGGAUCCCAGGAUCCCCAGUGCUGUGCUCUCAAAUUAAGAAGUCGACCUAAACAAAAGCAAGACGGGGCUGGUGCUUUGGUGUAGCAGAUAAAGCCUGCAGUGCCAGCAUCAAAUAUGGGUGCCGCAUCAAGUCCCGGCUGCUCCACUUCCAACCCAGCUCUCUGCUAUGGCCUGGGAAAGCAGUACAAGAUGGACCAAGACCUUGGGCCCCUGCACCUGCGUGGGAGACCCGGAAGAAGCUCCUGGAUCCUGGCUUCAGAUCAGCACAGCUCUGGCUGUUGCAGCCAUUUGGGGAGUGAACCAGUGGACGGAAGACUUCUCUCUGCCUUUCAAAUAAAUAAAUCUUUAAAAAGGCAAGAAGAGACACUGCAGCCCUCGGAAGGAAUCAGCUGUUGGCCUUGGGAAGCAGUUCUCAGUCCUUACUGGCAUUUGUCUUUGACACAAACCAAAGCAACAGGGGCAGGUGCUGUGGCACAGCAGGUUAAUGCCCUGGCCUGAAGCACCGGCAUCCCAUAUGGGCGCCGGUUUGAGAACCGGCUGUUCCUCUUCUGAUCCAGCUCUCUGCUAUGGCCUGGGAAAGCAGUAGAAGAUGGCCCAAGUCCUUGCGCCGCUGCACCCACGUGGGAGACCCAGAGGAAGCUCCUGGCUCCUGGCUUCAGAUUGGCACAGCUCCGGCCACUGCGGCCAACUGGCGAGUGAACCAUCGGAUGGAACACCUCUCUCUCUCUCUUUUUCUCUGCCUCUCCUCUCUUUGUGUAACUGACUUUCAAGUAAAUACAUCUUUUUAAAAAAUGCUAUUAAAACAAAAACAAAGCAACAUAGAGCUGACAGCUGACAACACCAAAGGGCAAAAAAUUAUGUCACAUGCUUCUAAGGACCAGGCAGGACACUGGCUACCUGCAGGGAGACCAGGAGCUGAGACCAAAGCCCCCCGCAGGGAAGGCUGAACACAGCUCUCCUAGUUCAGUGGGGAAUCUGCCUUCCUCCUGCCAUGAUAGAUACCCACUCCGACCAACCACCUCCCCCAUGUAAGCACCUUCUGUGGUUCCCGCAGCUUCCAUGGCCCCACCAAGGCAAGACUGCUCUCCCCAAAGCUGCCAGGCAGAAACGGGUCUCAACUUUCUCUGGGGCUCCACUCAGCUCUCUUUUUCUGCCUUUGGGAACAGUGACUCCAGUACUUGAUCAGCCAGUGGAAGAAUGGAUUCCUUGGAUGUGUGUGAGCCAAUCCCAGAGAGCCAGCCUCCAGAAGGCAGGGCUCGGGCUGACGCUCAGCACCACAGAGGCACUCCUACACGCUACAGGGUUCCUUCCUGCCCAGAUGAACUCAGCCUCUAGAUGACAAAAGUCUCUUGUUGUUUAAUAAACAAAGAAUUGUUUCUGACUUACUGAAAAUAAGGUUGAAGAAAACUCAGAAAGCAGUGUGUGACUACUACAGCCUGGCAGCUGACCACCAUGGAAGACGGCGGCCAUUGUUGAGUAGAAUCUGGCUCCCUGGCUCAUGCAGUCAUGGGCUGAUGGCAAUUACAGGGUGAGGGCUUGAUCCACUCACAGCAUCUGAAGGCAGAGCCUUGGAAAGUGCUCAGACUGGGUUAGGCUGCGAAGUGGGGCCCUGAUGACUGACACCAUGGUGGCUCUCUAGGACAAGACCACACAGACAUGUGGGUGGGGUGGGGGGUGGCAGGAGAUGAGCACGUUCCCUCUCACUCUUUCUGCUCACCCCAUCACCAUCCCUCCACGUGUAUUCUGCCAUCCACUGUCUUCAGACAACAGACUAAUGGGGCCACCCAACCUUGGACUGUGAAUCUCUGAAACCAUGAGCCAAAAUAAUCCUUGUUCUUCUACACGUGACUCCUCUCACAUACUUUAGUCAUAGAGAUUAAUACAAGGUAAUUGAUAAAUAGAAACCUAAGUAUAGUUCAGAGUGUAUCAGAUCCAUGAAUAGACAAGACCAGGGUGGAAUCAGUUCCACUAACAGAGGCUUGGAUUACCCUAGUGAUAUUUUAUUUAAAAAAAAAAUUAAAAAAAAAAAAAAAAACCAUGAUCAGUUCAUGCUGAGACCAG